rnacentral:rRNA from 1 species
UACAGAGGUCCCAAGCGUUGUUCGGAUUUACUGGGCGUAAAGGAUGCGUAGGCGGUCUGCCAAGUCCGAUGUGAAAGCCCGGGGCUCAACCCCGGAACGGCAUUGGAUACUGGCAGGCUGGAGGCUGGAAGAGGUUACUGGAAUUCCCGGUGUAGCGGUGAAAUGCGUAGAGAUCGGGAGGAACACCAAUGGCGAAAGCAAGUAACUGGGACAGACCUGACGCUGAGGCAUGAAAGCCAGGGGAGCAAACGGG